GAUUUUGUAGCCGGUGCCCUGAAAGACGACUGCACGGUGGACGCCGACUGUCAAUGCGCCGCGGGGACGUUCCCGCACUGUCACCACGGGAAGUGCUACUGUCACCAUAGUACCCACGAAUGUCACCACCCGGACGAGUGCGCGGCCUGUGAUGUUGACCACUAUCCCACCUGUGACCAUCACCUCUGUCACUGCCACCCCACAACACCCCACUAAACCGUGAAAUAUUAUCAAAGACAAAGAGUGUAUAUAUUGUUCAAAUAAAUUCAUUCUGAAAAUAAAUAUGUGCAUGU
rnacentral:sRNA from 1 species